CCUGGUGGCGAGUGGCGAACGGGUGAGUAAUACAUCGGAACGUGCCCAAUCGGUGGGGGAUAACGUAGCGAAAGUUACGCUAAUACCGCAUACGAUCUACGGAUGAAAGCGGGGGAUCGCAAGACCUCGCGCGAAUGGAGCGGCCGAUGUCAGAUUAGGUAGUUGGUGGGGUAAAGGCUCACCAAGCCGACGAUCUGUAGCUGGUCUGAGAGGACGACCAGCCACACUGGGACUGAGACACGGCCCAGACUCCUACGGGAGGCAGCAGUGGGGAAUUUUGGACAAUGGGCGCAAGCCUGAUCCAGCCAUUCCGCGUGCAGGAUGAAGGCCUUCGGGUUGUAAACUGCUUUUGUACGGAACGAAACGGUUCUCUCUAAUACAGGGGGCUAAUGACGGUACCGUAAGAAUAAGCACCGGCUAACUACGUG
rnacentral:rRNA from 1 species